rnacentral:rRNA from 1 species
UACAUGUGGGGCAAGCGUUGUUCGGAAUUACUGGGCGUAAAGGGCUCGUAGGCGGCCAACUAAGUCAGACGUGAAAUCCCUCAGCUUAACUGGGGAACUGCGUCUGAUACUGGAUGGCUUGGAUUCGGGAGAGGAAUGCGGAAUUCCAGGUGUAGCGGUGAAAUGCGUAGAUAUCUGGAGGAACACCGGUGGCGAAGGCGGCAUUCUGGACCGAUAUUGACGCUGAGGAGCGAAAGCCAGGGGAGCAAAGCGGG